rnacentral:rRNA from 1 species
UACGGAGGGUGCGAGCGUUGUCCGGAAUCACUGGGCGUAAAGGGCGCGUAGGUGGCGCGAGGAGUCUGUGGUGAAAGCCCGAGGCUCAACUUCGGGUCGGCCGCGGAUACUCUCGUGCUGGAGGGUGGUAGAGGCCAAUGGAAUUCCGGGUGUAGCGGUGGAAUGCGUAGAUAUCAGGAGGAACACCGAUGGCGAAGGCAGAUCUCUGGGCCGUAACUGACGCUGAGGAGCGAAAGCAUGGGGAGCGAACAGG